rnacentral:rRNA from 1 species
GUAAUCCAGGUCAGUUUCUAUCUAUGAUAUGUUCUUUUCUAGUACGAAAGGACCGAAAAGAAGAGGCCCAUACCACAAGUAUGCCUCACCCCCAUCUGAUGAAGUCAACUAAACCAGACAACGGGGCAUCCCUCCCAGCCUGAGAUAACUGCAC